GACAGACUGUGUAUUUUCAUUUUCAACUUAUAGAUAAAUCAUCGGUCAUGAGCAUCUUGGAGACUAGAACUGAAUGCUUGCAAGUUGCAGCUACAUGUAGAGUGGUGUACAUAGAACUAAUUAACAAAAGAUAACAGAAGCAGGUCUUUCCCAAUUGGAUCAAUAUUUCAAUCCAAGUACCAGGAUGAAAAGAAAUGCAACUAUUGCUGUAAACCCGAUGUAAAUGCAUAAUAUCUAAAAUUUCCAUUGCCAGAAUACUGCAGACAAAAAACAGCGGAUUGGUCAUUUUGUUAGGAGGCGCAAUAUACAAGGCUCUAAUCUAGUGAGGUCUAUGGAAGAUAGGUAUAUGCACUGUUGCUCCCACAAGCAAAUAGGCUAUUUACAUGGUCUUCAUUAACUAGAGAAAAAUAUUGCUAAAGCAGGGUUUUUGGAAGAAUAUUUUUUUAAGCUGCAGCUUCUAAAUCUAAAAGUCAAACUACUGUGAAUACAUUUAUCAAUGAGUUUUGAUCAAUUAGCUCGAGAAAAGCCUAUUGACUGUCAUAUUCAACCUCAAUGCCAUCAUUGUUGUCGUCUUCCUCUUCGGAACUACAAUUGUUGUUGAAGUUGCCUUGUGAAUGUUGAAACUUACUGAUAGCAUCUCUAGCUUCAGAAACCAAAGCAACUUUUGCAGCUUUAACGACGUCCCUUUUCUGAAUGUUGAAACUUAUUGGCACUUGUAAACGUGCACAGGCUGCUUCUCUCUUAGCUUCCCUACAGCGCAAUUGAUGGACGUAUUUCUCAUGCAGUACCCUGUUCUUUACUUGCUUUAGUACAGGGGGGCUAGCAAGAUCUGUAAUACAAGAGCCACUAAACCUUGAAAGGGUCUUCUUCUUAUGCCUUGAAGAUGAUGCCUUGGUGCAAUUUUUCAGGAAGCCUUGUUUUCCUUUUGCUGCUUUGGAG
rnacentral:lncRNA from 1 species